rnacentral:rRNA from 1 species
AAUUAACGCUGGCGGCAUGCGUAACACAUGCAAGUCGUACGAGAAAGCCCGGUUCGCCGGGCGAGUAAAGUGGCGCACGGGUGAGUAACGCGUGGGUAAUCUACCCCGGUCUGGGGGAUAACGCACCGAAAGGUACGCUAAUACCGCAUGACCCGACGGGUCCCUGGACCCAUCGGCAAAGGUGGCCUCUGCAUGCAAGCUACCGAACCGGGAUGAGCCCGCGUCCUAUUAGCUUGUUGGUGGGGUAAUGGCCCACCAAGGCGACGAUGGGUAGCUGGUCUGAGAGGACGGCCAGCCACACUGGAACUGGUACACGGUCCAGACUCCUACGGGAGGCAGCAGUGAGGAAUAUUGCGCAAUGGGGGAAAACCUGACGCACCGAUGCCGCGUGGGUGAAGAAAGGCUUCUGGUCGUAAAGCCCUGUCAGGCGGGAAGAAUAUCCCCGGGGCUAAUAUUUCCCGGGUGUGACGGUACCGCUGAAAGAAACACCGGCUAAAUCCGUGCCAGCAGCCGCGGGAAGAAAGAGGGUGCGGAGCGUUAUUCUGAAUUAUUGGGCGUAAAAGGCGUGGAGGCGGGCCGCCAAAUCUUAUGUGUAAGACCCCGGGGUUAACCUCCGAAAGGCGUUGGAAACUGGGUGGCUUGAGUUCCGGCAAAGAAAGCGGAAUUUCUGGGGUGAGGGGGAAUUCCUUUAAUUCUGAGGAACACACGGGGGGAAGGCGGUUUUUUGUCUAACUGAACCUGGAAACCGAAAAGGGGGGGAGGCAACCGGUUUAUUACCUUUGCGUCCCCCCUGUUACCAAGGGGACAUGUGGGGGGGGGGUUUUUCCUCCCUGGCCCAACUAACCCAUAUAUUGCCG